rnacentral:rRNA from 1 species
GAUGAACGCUGGCGGCGUGCCUAAUACAUGCAAGUAGAACGCUGAAGCUUGGUGCUUGCACCGAGCGGAUGAGUUGCGAACGGGUGAGUAACGCGUAGGUAACCUGCCUGGUAGCGGGGGAUAACUAUUGGAAACGAUAGCUAAUACCGCAUAACAGUAGAUAUUGCAUGAUACCUGCUUGAAAGGUGCAAUUGCAUCACUACCAGAUGGACCUGCGUUGUAUUAGCUAGUUGGUGAGGUAACGGCUCACCAAGGCGACGAUACAUAGCCGACCUGAGAGGGUGAUCGGCCACACUGGGACUGAGACACGGCCCAGACUCCUACGGGAGGCAGCAGUAGGGAAUCUUCGGCAAUGGACGGAAGUCUGACCGAGCAACGCCGCGUGAGUGAAGAAGGUUUUCGGAUCGUAAAGCUCUGUUGUAAGAGAAGAACGAGUGUGAGAGUGGAAAGUUCACACUGUGACGGUAUCUUACCAGAAAGGGACGGCUAACUACGUGCCAGCAGCCGCGGUAAUACGUAGGUCCCGAGCGUUAUCCGGAUUUAUUGGGCGUAAAGCGAGCGCAGGCGGUUAGAUAAGUCUGAAGUUAAAGGCUGUGGCUUAACCAUAGUACGCUUUGGAAACUGUUUAACUUGAGUGCAAGAGGGGAGAGUGGAAUUCCAUGUGUAGCGGUGAAAUGCGUAGAUAUAUGGAGGAACACCGGUGGCGAAAGCGGCUCUCUGGCUUGUAACUGACGCUGAGGCUCGAAAGCGUGGGGAGCAAACAGG